rnacentral:rRNA from 1 species
CCCUUAGAUGUUCUGGGCUGCACGCGCGCUACACUGAUGCGCUCAACGAGUUUUAACCUUGCCUGGAAAGGUUGGGUAAUCUUUUUAAAACGCAUCGUGAUGGGGAUAGAUUAUUGCAAUUUUUGAUCUUCAACGAGGAAUUCCUAGUAAAUGCGAGUCAUCAUCUCGCGUUGAUUACGUCCCUGCCCUUUGUACACACCGCCCGUCGCACCUACCGAUUGAAUGGUCCGGUGAAGCCUCCGGAUUGCGCGGCUUCGGCUGUCGCGAGAAGUUGGCUAAACCUUACCAUUUAGAGGAAGGUGAAGUCGUAACA